rnacentral:rRNA from 1 species
AACGAACGCUGGCGGCAGGCUUAACACAUGCAAGUCGAGCGCACCGCAAGGUGUGCGGCAGACGGGUGAGUAACGCGUGGGCAUCUACCCAACCCUACGGAAUAACCCAGGGAAACUUGGACUAAUACCGUAUACGCCCUUUUGGGGAAAGAUUUAUCGGGGAUGGAUGAGCCCGCGUUGGAUUCGCUAGUUGGUGGGGUAAAGGCCUACCAAGGCGACGAUCCAUAGCUGGUCUGAGAGGAUGAUCAGCCACAUUGGGACUGGGACACGGCCCAAACUCCUACGGGAGGCAGAAGUGGGGAAUAUUGGACAAUGGGCGCAAGCCUGAGCCAGCCAUGCCGCGUGAGUGAUGAAGGCCUUAGGAUUGUAAAGCUCUUUAAGUAGGGAAGAUAAUGACGGUCCCGACAGAAGAAGCCCCGGCUAACUUCGU